GUUCGAUUCUGGCUCAGAUUGAACGCUGGCGGGAUGCUUUACACAUGCAAGUCGAACGGCAGCACGGACUUCCGGUCUGGUGGCGAGUGGCGAACGGGUGAGUAAUGUAUCGGAACGAUGCCUAGUAGCGGGGGAUAACUACGCGAAAGCGUAGCUAAUACCGCAUACGCCCUUCGGAAAGCGGGGGACCUUCGGAGCCUCGCACUAUUAGAGCGGCCGAUAUCGGAUUAGCUAGUUGGUGGGGUAACGGCUCACCAAGGCGACGAUCCGUAGCUGGUUUGAGAGGACGACCAGCCACACUGGGACUGAGACACGGCCCAGACUCCUACGGGAGGCAGCAGUGGGGAAUUUUGGACAAUGGGGAAACCCUGAUCCAGCCAUCCCGCGUGUGCGAUGAAGGCCUUCGGGUUGUAAAGCACUUUUGGCAGGAAAGAAACGGCACGGGAUAAUACCCCGAUGCAACUGACGGUACCUGCAGAAUAAGCACCGGCUAACUACGUGCCAGCAGCCGCGGUAAUACGUAGGGUGCAAGCGUUAAUCGGAAUUACUGGGCGUAAAGCGUGCGCAGGCGGUUCGGAAAGAAGAUAAUCCCAGAGCUUAACUUUGGAACUGCAUUUUUAACUACCGAGCUAGAGUGUGUCCAGAGGUGGAAUUCCGCGUGUAGCAGUGAAAUGCGUAGAUAUGCGGAGGAACACCGAUGGCGAGAGGCAGCCUCCUGGGAUAACACUGGCAACUCAUGCACGAAAGCGUGGAGGCAAACAGGAUUAGAUACCCUGGUAGUCCACGCCCUAAACGAUGUCAACUAGCUGUUGGGGCCUUCGGGCCUUGGUAGCGCAGCUAACGCGUGAAGUUGACCGCCUGGGAGUACGGUCGCAAGAUUAAAACUCAAAAGGAAUUGACGGGGACCCGCACAAGCGGUGGAUGAUGUGGAUUAAUUCGAUGCAACGCGAAAAACCUUACCUACCCUUGACAUGUCUGGAAUCCCGAAGAGAUUUGGGAGUGCUCGCAAGAGAACCGGAACACAGGUGCUGCAUGGCUGUCGUCAGCUCGUGUCGUGAGAUGUUGGGUUAAGUCCCGCAGCGAGCGCAACCCUUGUCAUUAGUUGCUACGAAAGGGCACUCUAAUGAGACUGCCGGUGACAAACCGGAGGAAGGUGGGGAUGACGUCAAGUCUCAUGGCCCUUAUGGGUAGGGCUUCACACGUCAUACAAUGGUCGGGACAGAGGGUCGCCAACCCGCGAGGGGGGAGCCAAUCCCAGAAACCCGAUCGUAGUCCGGAUCGCAGUCUGCAGCUCGACUGCGUGAAGUCGGAAUCGCUAGUAAUCGCGGAUCAGCAUGUCGCGGUGAAUACGUUCCCGGGUCUUGUACACACCGCCCGUCACCAUGGGAGUGGGUUUUACCAGAAGUAGUUAGCCUAACCGUAAGGAGGGCGAUUACCACGGUAGGAUUCAUGACUGGGGUGAAGUCGUAACAAGGUAA
rnacentral:rRNA from 1 species